UAUACCGGCAUCGUCCGUAAGGACUUGAUUAAGACCAACACCGUUUUCCCAGUAUACCGGCAUGAACAGCCGGGAAGUACGAUCCCGUGUUGCCGUUUUUACUUCAACAGCGCUGGUGUAGUUGUUUACCUGCUUACACCGUUUCCUUCGGAAGUGGAGCGGCAUCCUUCCCUGCGCUAUCCGCUGCACUGCAAGCUGCCGGUACAUGUGGCGUAUAUUGUUGAAGGUUAACAAGCGAGUAAUCGUUAGUUUACGGGGUCAUUGGUUGAUGCUGCGUGCAACGGGGAAACACGCGCGUCGACUGUGUACGGCAUUUUAGAUUUGAUUUAGUUUAAAUUCAAACACGUUGUUUAUUUUUUAUUCGUAACAUUAAUCGUUAUGGCUUUUAAUCUUCAACCACAAAAGUUGUCUUCUACCGGCUUCUGAAAAUAUUUGAACUGUGCAACGAUCUCUUAAUAUACAGCUAUAUGGUACACGAAUAAAUAUUUUAUAGCUAUAUUAAAGAACAGAAACAAGGAAUUUCAAAUUACAAAAUUAGUAGAGCAUGCAGCUGUCGCCCGUGCAGCAGUUCCGUGCCAGCAGCCCACACACGUGCGGAUUCCAAAAGGUCACCUAGCAUCUGAGCAUCUAUGCACUUCCUGAGACCGCAUCCGCUUGACUUGUGAACUAUUUCACCGUGACGCUCCCGAUCCGAGUUCCGACCGAGCCGGGGAACACCUACGCUUACGUCGGCUGGGGAGCAUUACCCACAUGGAGAAACGCACUGACCCCGCUCACUGCACACUGGAGAUACGCCGUGAUUCGCCGUUUGGCGGAACUUGGUACUUCCAUGGCCUUGCCUAGCGGAUCCCGGGUCUCGUCCUCGGUAUCCGCAGCGGCCCGCAUCCCACCCAGCAAGGUGCCCUACAAAGGGAAACGGGUCUUCCAUUGGGUUAGCUUCAGCCUGGCGACGCGUCACUGCUGUCGCCGCUGCAGGAUUAAUUCAUCUAACUGAGACCAAGCAGCUGUACUCGGCGUCCAGCGACGCUCAUUCACUGGUGUUCAGGCGACGCAGAUCCCACAAAUUCCUCGAUCCCGCGUCACCCAGCACGGAUACGGCCGACGGAAACUCCACGAGCGGCUCCGUCUACCCGGGCCAACCAUUCCACCGGAUACUAGGGGCACUAUCUACACAGUUUUCUCAGACAAUAGCAAUAACGCCCGUUCGAAUUGGGCUUGCUACGUCUCCGCCACUGCAGGCACCAGCGACACGGAAGUCUGCAAGUCUGUUCGCUAAGUACGUAAUAUUAUGAGUCGGCAUUAAUGUACUGUUAUACGAGUAUAAUAAUAUGAGUUAUUGACAAUUCUUUUUCUUCCGGCCCCGGAAGCAUAUUGCAAAAAUUACUUUGCGGAAAACCUACAGGAUAUCAUCUGAUCGAUGAUUAUGUGAUACGAUGUGGAACCAUUUGAUUGGUUGAUAGGUCUGACUGAUUUGAAGCUGGCGCUUUUUCCUAUAUAAGCGAAUAUCCCAACAAAGAACAUGCACAACCUAAUUUGCAGCACUCUACCUUUUCAUCAUUUUUUCAUUCUUUUUUUGUUCCCACACCACCGAAUCAAUCAUGCCAGCGCUGGUAGCCCUGGUACAUCUCGUUAUAUAAUAAGAUGUACCAAGGCUACCAGCGCUACUAUAUAUGGUGAUUAUCUCAGCGAUAAUCGGCCCGAUCGAAAUCUGUUUCUUAACCAUUUGAUGAUGUUGGUACCAACUACAGUACCAACAUCAUCAAAUGGGUAAGAAACAGAUUUCGAUCCGGCCGAAAGCAUUAGAAGGAGAAAUUCCGCAGGAUAAAACGAAAAGAAUAUAGAUCCUGCACCGGGCCACCGCCACCGUCGCCAUUCACCGCAGUGACCUUGCUCUUCCACAAUUCGCUUCCCUUGCCCGCUCCAUAAUAACUCAAGGCGCCGGCCGACUGAUAACAACUUAACGGGUCACUUUUUUAUCCGGCUCGGCAUGGCAUCCUGGAUAACACUUAUGCAUUGCUCCGACUACGAAUCAUCCAUAUUUCUACCACUGUCUUAUAUGGGCUCUCCUUAGCUCACUCUCCCAUAUCUGGGCUCCCGGCUAGUUAGCAGUACCCGUCAAAUUAAAUUUAUCAAAUUUAUAGCAGAACCCUUUUCUAUUUCUUUCAACCGGAUUUACCAGAAAACCUUCGUUGAACUCAAAGAUGACGACAGUGGAAGCAGAGGUGUGACUUCACCGGUGGAACAAAUUGAUUAGUGACAGAAGGGUAGAUAUGGCAAUCAGACAAUGGUUUAAAGAAUACGAGGGAAUGUCAGUAGCGCACCUAGAUAAUCCCUUGUAUUGCCGUCACCCGCCUGGAGUGUGACGUUACGGCACUACAUAUAGCUAAAUCUGGCGCGGUACAUACGCACCAUGUACAGCCACAACGUCAUACUCCAGCCGGCUGACGGCAGCAAGUACAGGGAUAAUCUAGGUGCGCUACUGACAUCCCCUCGUAUGUAGAAAUGUAAACGUGUAAGGCGUUGAAUUUUGGAUUCAGCGAUAGGGAGUGACAUUACGAUACCGAAUAACUUGAACAAAAGUCUCAUAAAACACAUUCUUCGUGAACACAGAAUCCGAAAGCCGAUGUUCUAUUGGCGGUGAGACCGGCGUACCGUCACUUCUGUGCAAAGCUGCGUCGCACCACAUCGUUCAAGACUUUAGUCCAGCACCAACAUUUAAGGUCGAUGCGUUUGAAAAGAUUUUGAACCCGGCUUGUGUGUUUGCGGGUAUAUUGAUAUUGCGUAUAUUGCUAUACAUGAUCUUUACAUAAUUUGUGGUCUAUUUAAUUGUCUGAUUGUAAGACAUCCUGAAUGUAUUAUCCCAGCCAAUAGUUUUCUUUUGGUCUUUAACGUGCGAAGGCUUAGCUUUCCACGGGUUAUGCAUGCGCAUGUCCCAUGGACUGAAAACUUUGUAAAUAUGCUUUUAUCGUUGUCGAAAAGUUGCAUACUGCAUGUUCCUUAUUGAUUGUGUCUGAAGCCUAGAGAGGGCGUCAAGCGCUGUUACAAGGACAUUAA